rnacentral:rRNA from 1 species
CCGGAGCUUGCUCCACCGGAAAAAGAAGAGUGGCGAACGGGUGAGUAACACGUGGGUAACCUGCCCAUCAGAAGGGGAUAACACUUGGAAACAGGUGCUAAUACCGUAUAACAAUCGAAACCGCAUGGUUUUGAUUUGAAAGGCGCUUUCGGGUGUCGCUGAUGGAUGGACCCGCGGUGCAUUAGCUAGUUGGUGAGGUAACGGCUCACCAAGGCCACGAUGCAUAGCCGACCUGAGAGGGUGAUCGGCCACAUUGGGACUGAGACACGGCCCAAACUCCUACGGGAGGCAGCAGUAGGGAAUCUUCGGCAAUGGACGAAAGUCUGACCGAGCAACGCCGCGUGAGUGAAGAAGGUUUUCGGAUCGUAAAACUCUGUUGUUAGAGAAGAACAAGGAUGAGAGUAACUGUUCAUCCCUUGACGGUAUCUAACCAGAAAGCCACGGCUAACUACGUGCCAGCAGCCGCGGUAAUACGUAGGUGGCAAGCGUUGUCCGGAUUUAUUGGGCGUAAAGCGAGCGCAGGCGGUUUCUUAAGUCUGAUGUGAAAGCCCCCGGCUCAACCGGGGAGGG